UGGGGAAUUUUCCGCAAUGGGCGAAAGCCUGACGGAGUGACGCCGCGUGGGGGACGAAGGCCUUCGGGUCGUAAACCCCUGUCAGAGGGAAAGAAGGGUCGCCGACCUAACACGUCGGUGAUCUGACGGUACCUUCAGAGGAAGCCCCGGCCAACUCUGUGCCAGCAGCCGCGGUAAGACAGAGGGGGCAAGCGUUGCUCGGAAUCACUGGGCGUAAAGGGCGCGUAGGCGGGAUGGCAAGUCGGUCGUGAAAUCCUUCGGCCCAACCGAAGAACGUCGGCCGAUACUGCCGUUCUUGAGGGAUGCAGAGGAGACUGGAAUUCCCGGUGUAGCGGUGAAAUGUGUAGAGAUCGGGAGGAACACCGGUGGCGAAGGCGGGUCUCUGGGCAUUUCCUGACGCUGAGGCGCGAAAGCGUGGGGAGCAAACGG
rnacentral:rRNA from 1 species